UAUAAGGCCAACCCAUUGAGCCAGGAGGGAGACGUUUGUCUUUGGAAUGAUGCCAUUGAAGAAAAAGAGGAAGGAGAAAAAGAAUCAAGAAGAGCAGUAUCACCAUUAUUAACACGAACCCAAGUUCUUGAUGAGACUGAUAAAAGGAAUAAGCAGCAGCAGAACUUGAUGAUAAAGAUGAUAAAAGAGUAGUAAGCUGCUGCAUGGCUGUAAAGAUCAGAAAGACACAAAAAUAGAGAGAAAGAGAGGUGGCAGAAGUUAACUUGAACAUGUGCUACAAGUAUAUGAAUGUGUAUCAGGGGGAUGAAGCUUUUUAUAUAAUAUAUAUAUAUAUAUAUAUUUAAAGAGAGGGAGAGAGAAGUUAUAAAAGGUGACAGGCGUCACCAGGUUUAUGGGAACACCUUGCUUCUGUGUUCUCAAGUGUGCCCCUCCUUUCCCUUCCCUUUUUUAGGGCCUAUUACCCCUCCGACUCCGGACCCCAACAAUGCCUCUUAACAUUUUUCGUCAAAUAAUAAUAAUAUAAAUAAUAACAUUAAAGCCCCUUUGUUUCUCUUAUGGACACGUUUUUUCUCAUACUUACAGCCUCCCUGCCUCUCACGCGUUUCUUUUUUGUGUGUUCUAAUUAGCUUCUGCAUUUUCU
rnacentral:lncRNA from 1 species